GUAGGGAAUAUUGCGCAAUGGACGAAAGUCUGACGCAGCGACGCCGCGUGAGUGAUGAAGGCCUUAGGGUCGUAAAGCUCUGUUGAAUGGGAAGAAAAAAAUGACGGUACCAUUCGAGGAAGGACCGGCUAACUUCGUGCCAGCAGCCGCGGUAAUACGAGGGGUCCUAGCGUUGUUCGGAAUCAUUGGGCGUAAAGGGUGUGUAGGUGGCCAUGUAAGUCAGGUGUGAAAGCCCCGGGCUCAACCCGGGAAGUGCACUUGAUACUGCGUGGCUUGAGUACCGAAGAGGGUAGUGGAAUUCCAGGUGUAGUGGUGAAAUACGUAGAUAUCUGGAGGAACACCGGUGGCGAAGGCGGCUACCUGGACGAGUACUGACACUGAGACACGAAAGCAUGGGGAUCAAACAGGAUUAGAUACCCCGGUAGUCC
rnacentral:rRNA from 1 species